GUGUCAGAUGUAGGUCUAUGGGACAGUGGAGAAUGCACAAGACUGACAGGAUCUCAUAUUCCUUGUCCUCACGUGUCCACUCCGAGAUGCAGCUUCAGGAGUCGGGCCCCGGACUGGUGAAGCCCUCACAGACCCUCUCCCUCACCUGCACAGUCUCUUGUUACUCCAUCACCAUUAAUUACUACUGGAGAUAGAUCCACCAGCUCCCAGGGAGGGGGCUGGAGUGGAUUGGGUACAUAAGUUAUGGUGGAAGUACUUACUAGAGCCCGUCCCUCAAGAGUCGCACCUCCAUCUCCAGAGACAUGCCCAAGAACCAGUUCUCCCUGCAGCUGACUUCCAUGACCACUGAGGACACAGCUGUGUAUUACUGUGCAAGAGACACAUAGUAGUGGAUUGUCAUUUUGA